rnacentral:rRNA from 1 species
GGGAGAAAUUCAUUCGCGUUCUCGACGCUGGCGUUCGGACGGAGUUCACGAAGCGACGGGGAAACGCAGUUUUUUCGGAACUGACGGUUUCGCGCCGCCGCCCUCCGUCCGUUCGAACCGGCGUCGAACGCGUGCACUUUUCUUCCGGUAGGACGUCGCGAUUCGUCGGGCGUCGGUCUACGACUUGCGGUGGAGCCCGCCCGUCUCGCGUCAUUGCGUACGCGUGCGGACGCGGACCCGCUCGUUCCGGCCGACUCGCUCGACGGUAUACCGUAAGGUCGGAGGCCGCUCGAUUUUUUGUCAAGGAGCGUUCGACUCGUCGCAAGCGCGCCACGUGCGUCGACGCGCGGACUCAGUGCCGCGUCCGACCUCUGGCGACUGUUGGCGACAAAGUUCUCGGACAGACCUCUUAUGGKGUGUGUGUCGUGUUUUUUUUUCGUUCGAUUUCGAUCGGACGAAGAGAGACGCGCGCGCGCACACGGAGACCGAUCGGCGACGCUAUAGCUUUGGGUACUUUCAGGACCCGUCUUGAAACACGGACCAAGGAGUCUAGCGUGUACGCGAGUCAUUGGGAUUUAAACUAAACCUAAAGGCGUAAUGAAAGUGAAAAGAAGGUCUUCCUCGCGGAAGACCUUAGUGGGAAGACGGACGAUCGAGCGUGGAGAUUUUUAUUAAUUUCCGAUCGUCCCGCACUCCCGGGGCGUCUCGUUCACAUCGCGUGAAGAGGCGCACCAAGAGCGUACGCGCUGGGACCCGAAAGAUGGUGAACUAUGCCUGGUCCAGGACGAAGUCAGGGGAAACCCUGAUGGAGGUCC